CAACCCUCGAACCCCUCCGGGGGGUCGGCGUUGGGGAUCGGCCCUCCCUUAGCGGGGUGGCCGUCUCCGAAAUACAGUGGCGGUCUCGCCGCAGCCUCUCCUGCGCAGUAGUUUGCACACUCGCAUCGGGAGCGCGGCGCGUCCACAGCCGUUAAACACCCAACUUCUGAAA
rnacentral:misc_RNA from 1 species